rnacentral:lncRNA from 1 species
CCCAGGAUGUUAGAAAGACAAGGUGGAUGAGGUAAUAUCUUUUAUUGGACCAACUUUUCUCAGUGAAAUAAAGAUCCAGUAAAAGAUAUUACCUCACCCACCUUGUCUCUCUAAAUUUGGCUGGACAGACAUAAUUUACUUUAAUUCUUCUGCAUUUAAUAUCUGGCUAAUUUCCAAGGAUUUUUCUCAUGAGUUGGAGAGUACAGGGCUGGGGAGAAGUAGUUUCUUCCUGCUGGGAGACUGAGGGGAUUGGUACUAGCUCCCUGCCUUCCUGUUGAAUAAAACAUCUCUUCCCUUCGAUUAGGCUGCCAAUAUGACCUAUCUCCCCAACUGGUGCACUGGGCCAAGAACCAGCAAGGGAAAGCAGACUACACUGGGGUGUUAAACUGAGGGCACAGAGGAACCAGUAUGGAAUAAUUAAGCCUGUUGUCUUGAGUGCAUUAAGGAUUAAGGUCCAGAUCCUCAAAAGGCACUUAGAGUUCACUAGAGGCCAAAAAUGCUGAAGGUCGAAAACAUAUUACGACACCACUUCUGCCAAAUCUACUUCAUUGAACUAUUUUUAACUCCUCACUAAAGAUGGGCAGCAAUGAGGCCAAAUGCAAGCAUGAGAGGAAGUUCUAAAUACACCCAAGCACGGAUGACAAAAUUACACAAGAGGUUUGUGCCUGCAGUAUCCACUCUCAUAACAGAGGAGAAACUCCCGUUUUGUGAUUCCAUAAGGUGAAUUAAUGUAAAGCAAUACGUUCUGGAAGAAGAAUUCUAGGAGAAAACAUUGCAAACGGUUGGGAAUAUCCAACAGAAUCUUCUACCUAUUUGACAUAUGCAAUUAAUGCUUGGGAUAAUUU